GUUCCUCCAAGACAGCUCAGUCUUGAAGUCCCACUGGCUUCACCUACAGAUGCCAACUUUGAGGCCAGUGAACUGUGAGGCCAGCUGGACUGAUUGCCAUGGCAACAGGAAUUGGACCCAAGUUACCGGAGGAUGGAGAGGGAAGACAGAGCGGUGGCUUCCCCAGGUCUUGGACCACAAGGCACAGCCGUGGCCUCCAGAAAGCCUGAGAGAACCCGUUAGUGGGUCCUGCACUCCGACACAGCUCACGCAAUCAGCCUCUGGUCCUCACCCUCCUCCCAUUGGUGUCGUUGUACUCUCUGACAGUGACGUUGAGCAGUGAGUGCUCCAGAUCUCGUUCUACUGAUUUUUCCCACUGUUCUCCAGUCUAGCACUUUCCAAAAUUCAUCCAAACUUAAGAGCACUGGGAUUACAGGAAUGAGCCACUGCACUCGGCCUACUUCUGCAUUCCUUAGAGUACAUCCUAGCUAGGAUAUAUUCAGUUGUCUUUAGAGCUAACAGCAGAAUAAAGGUACUUGGAUACAUAUCUGGCUCUUUAUCUUUCUAGAAAUUCUAGAAGAUGAGAGGGGCAGUGGUGGCUCCAAGGGAGUGAUUUUAGGAUGGACUGGGACAGAGAGGGGCUGCUUACACAUAUACACACAAAGGCCAUCAAUUUAGGGAGUUCAAGGUCCAGGAGGUAGACGGCAUCCAGGCCUGUGGCAGAGUGCACUCCUGCUUUGGGGACUGUAUGGGCAGAUUCUUGCCUGUAGUUGGAGGGUUAGAGAGAGGGAUGAAUAAUUUCAUGGUUGGACUUGAGUUUGGAAGCAAGUGGAGUUAGAUACAAAUUCUAUGUUUUUGGGGAAAGUAUUUGAUCUUCUUGGCUGUGAGGCAAAGCGAGAUUUAAAAAUAUUUUUGGCUUUAAAUAUAUAUAUGCAUGUAUAUUUAAUACCAUCUACGGAUUGUGCCAAUAUCUAUUUCAUAGUUUUGAUAUUGUGUAGUCAUACAAGGAGUUACCACUGAACGAAACUAGGGGAAGGGUACACAGAAUCUCUGUACUUUUUUUGUUGUUGUUGCGACUUCCUGUAAAUCUAUGAUUAUUUUAAAAUAAAAAAGUUAAAGCA
rnacentral:lncRNA from 1 species